UCCCAUGUGAUCUAGUGGUUAGGAUUCCUGGAUCUCACUCAGGCAGCCAGAGUUCAGUUGCCGGCAUGGGAA